rnacentral:rRNA from 1 species
GAACGCUGGCGGCGUGCCUAAUACAUGCAAGUCGAGCGAACGGACGAGAAGCUUGCUUCUCUGAUGUUAGCGGCGGACGGGUGAGUAACACGUGGAUAACCUACCUAUAAGACUGGGAUAACUUCGGGAAACCGGAGCUAAUACCGGAUAAUAUUUUGAACCGCAUGGUUCAAAAGUGAAAGACGGUCUUGCUGUCACUUAUAGAUGGAUCCGCGCUGCAUUAGCUAGUUGGUAAGGAAACGGCUUACCAAGGCAACGAUGCAUAGCCGACCUGAGAGGGUGAUCGGCCACACUGGAACUGAGACACGGUCCAGACUCCUACGGGAGGCAGCAGUAGGGAAUCUUCCGCAAUGGGCGAAAGCCUGACGGAGCAACGCCGCGUGAGUGAUGAAGGUCUUCGGAUCGUAAAACUCUGUUAUUAGGGAAGAACAUAUGUGUAAGUAACUGUGCACAUCUUGACGGUACCUAAUCAGAAAGCCACGGCUAACUACGUG